CCAGAUGGCGACCGGCGCACGGGUGAGUAACGCGUAUCCAACCUUCCCCAUAGUAGGGCACAGCCCGGCGAAAGUCGGAUUAAUUCCCUAUGCAGUCCAGAGAGGACAUCUGACCUGGACGAAAGAUUCAUCGCUAUGGGAUGGGGAUGCGUCUGAUUAGGUUGCAGGCGGGGUAACGGCCCACCUGGCCGACGAUCAGUAGGGUUCUGAGAGGAAGGUCCCCCACAUUGGAACUGAGACACGGUCCAAACUCCUACGGGAGGCAGCGGUGAGGAAUAUUGGUCAAGUGGACGGAAGUCUGAACCAGCCAAGUAGCGUGCCAGGAAGACGGCCCUAUGGGUUGUAAACUGCUUUUAUCAGGGGAUAAAGUGAGGUAUGUAUACCUUUUUGCAUGUACCUGAUGAAUAAGGACCGGCUAAUUCCGUGCCAGCCGCGGC
rnacentral:rRNA from 1 species